GGACGGUCAGGUGGAUAGAGCGGUGGACUUUUGUUCCAUGGCUCCAGGGGUCAGUGGUUCGAGCCCCGUUGAGGGUUCC
rnacentral:tRNA from 1 species